AGAGAGAGAGAGAGAGAGAGAGAGAGAGAGAGAGAGAAAGCAUUUUAAUGCUUUUAUUUAAACAACUAUAUAAACAUUUUAGGUGAUAUAUAUGUAUAUUUAAAUGUAUAUUUUAUAGUAUUUUUGUUCACUCAAAUUUUUUUUUAUCCAAUUUGAUUUUCUUUUAGUUUCAGUGCAUUGUGUACUAUAGCGCUAUUUUUUCAUGCGAUUUCAUCCAAGUACAUUAGAUAUUUAUUUAAGAGUUAAAUAAAUUCCUGCAACAUGUUUUAAUUUACUAGAGUAGAGCGCCAGUGUGGAGUAUUAAUUGAUAUGAAACGGUUAAUUUCAAAACCGUUACAUAUAUCCUCACCAAAGACUGCAUUACGAAAGGGGGGGGGGGGGGGGGGGGAGGCAGCAAAAGUGAUUUAGAACAGAGGGCAUAUAUACCGAAUACAUACAAAACAGUCGUAGUAACAAACCAAUACAACUGUGUUGUAAACCCAAAACAAUAUUUGGAUAGACAAAGAAAAUGUUAGGAUUGUUAUAAAUCACUUUUUCAAUGUGUCUUUUUCGUGUGUUUUGGUCAUCUUUCCAACUGAUUUAUGAAAACAGUGCGGUUUGUUUCCCAAUUAGCUUCUUGUCCAGACCAGACAGUUAACUAAUAGAAAAACAGAAUGUGUACUUUUGUCAGAAAUUAAUCAUGUUAUACUGAUUUCAUCAUUAAUAGCGAGUAGAUUGGAAUGAGUUCAUUGCUGACAUUUAAAAAAAAUAUAGUACAUAUGUACAUGUAGUAUAAUGUGCAAUUUGUUUAGUGGUCUUUGUUUUAUGAUGAGGAGAUUUAUAUGUUUAGGGGUAUAGAUUUUGUACAUUUAUAAUUAUGUAUUUAAAAAAAAGGUUAAAACCACCAUGCAAGACAAAGAUAUAUUUGUUAUUUUUAUAAAGCCAUUGUACAGUUCAUUAUUUUAAUUCUUUUUUUUUAAUAUUGCAAUUGUAUGUAUUUAAUUUGGAAUAAAACGCGUUAAAACUUU
rnacentral:misc_RNA from 1 species